CGCAAGGUUAAAACUCAAAUGAAUUGACGGGGGCCCGCACAAGCGGUGGAGCAUGUGGUUUAAUUCGAUGCAACGCGAAGAACCUUACCUGGUCUUGACAUCCACGGAAGUUUUCAGAGAUGAGAAUGUGCCUUCGGGAACCGUGAGACAGGUGCUGCAUGGCUGUCGUCAGCUCGUGUUGUGAAAUGUUGGGUUAAGUCCCGCAACGAGCGCAACCCUUAUCCUUUGUUGCCAGCGGUCCGGCCGGGAACUCAAAGGAGACUGCCAGUGAUAAACUGGAGGAAGGUGGGGAUGACGUCAAGUCAUCAUGGCCCUUACGACCAGGGCUACACACGUGCUACAAUGGCGCAUACAAAGAGAAGCGACCUCGCGAGAGCAAGCGGACCUCAUAAAGUGCGUCGUAGUCCGGAUUGGAGUCUGCAACUCGACUCCAUGAAGUCGGAAUCGCUAGUAAUCGUGGAUCAGAAUGCCACGGUGAAUACGUUCCCGGGCCUUGUACACACCGCCCGUCACACCAUGGGAGUGGGUUGCAAAAGAAGUAGGUAGCUUAACCUUCGGGAGGGCGCUUACCACUUUGUGAUUCAUGACUGGGGUGAAGUCGUAACAAGGUAACCGUAGGGGAACCUGCGGUUGGAUCACCUCCUUACCUUAAAGAAGC
rnacentral:rRNA from 1 species